rnacentral:rRNA from 1 species
GACAGAGGGUGCAAACGUUGUUCGGAAUUACUGGGCGUAAAGCGCGUGUAGGCGGCAAGGCAAGUCGGAUGUGAAAGCCCACGGCUCAACCGUGGAAGUGCACCGAAACUGCCUAGCUAGAGUCUCGGAGAGGAAGGUGGAAUGCUUGGUGUAGAGGUGAAAUUCGUAGAUAUCAAGCGGAACACCGGUGGCGAAGGCGGCCUUCUGGACGAUGACUGACGCUGAGACGCGAAAGCGUGGGGAGCAAACAGG